rnacentral:rRNA from 1 species
GACGAACGCUGGCGGCGUGCUUACACAUGCAAGUCGAACGGAAAGGCCCUGCUUUUGUGGGGUGCUCGAGUGGCGAACGGGUGAGUAACACGUGAGUAACCUGCCCUUGACUUUGGGAUAACUUCAGGAAACUGGGGCUAAUACCGGAUAGGAGCUCCUGCUGCAUGGUGGGGGUUGGAAAGUUUCGGCGGUUGGGGAUGGACUCGCGGCUUAUCAGCUUGUUGGUGGGGUAGUGGCUUACCAAGGCUUUGACGGGUAGCCGGCCUGAGAGGGUGACCGGCCACAUUGGGACUGAGAUACGGCCCAGACUCCUACGGGAGGCAGCAGUGGGGAAUAUUGCACAAUGGGCGGAAGCCUGAUGCAGCAACGCCGCGUGCGGGAUGACGGCCUUCGGGUUGUAAACCGCUUUCGCCUGUGACGAAGCGUGAGUGACGGUAAUGGGUAAAGAAGCACCGGCUAACUACGUGCCAGCAGCCGCGGUGAUACGUAGGGUGCGAGCGUUGUCCGGAUUUAUUGGGCGUAAAGGGCUCGUAGGUGGUUGAUCGCGUCGGAAGUGUAAUCUUGGGGCUUAACCCUGAGCGUGCUUUCGAUACGGGUUGACUUGAGGAAGGUAGGGGAGAAUGGAAUUCCUGGUGGAGCGGUGGAAUGCGCAGAUAUCAGGAGGAACACCAGUGGCGAAGGCGGUUCUCUGGGCCUUUCCUGACGCUGAGGAGCGAAAGCGUGGGGAGCGAACAGGCUUAGAUACCCUGGUAGUCCACGCUGUAAACGGUGGGUACUAGGUGUGGGGUCCAUUCCACGGGUUCCGUGCCGUAGCUAACGCUUUAAGUACCCCGCCUGGGGAGUACGGCCGCAAGGCUAAAACUCAAAGGAAUUGACGGGGCCCCGCACAAGCGGCGGAGCAUGCGGAUUAAUUCGAUGCAACGCGUAGAACCUUACCUGGGUUUGACAUGGAUCGGGAGUGCUCAGAGAUGGGUGUGCCUCUUUUGGGGUCGGUUCACAGGUGGUGCAUGGCUGUCGUCAGCUCGUGUCGUGAGAUGUUGGGUUAAGUCCCGCAACGAGCGCAACCCUUGUUCACUGUUGCCAGCACGUUAUGGUGGGGACUCAGUGGAGACCGCCGGGGUCAACUCGGAGGAAGGUGGGGAUGACGUCAAGUCAUCAUGCCCCUUAUGUCCAGGGCUUCACGCAUGCUACAAUGGCUGGUACAGAGAGUGGCGAGCCUGUGAGGGUGAGCGAAUCUCGGAAAGCCGGUCUCAGUUCGGAUUGGGGUCUGCAACUCGACCUCAUGAAGUCGGAGUCGCUAGUAAUCGCAGAUCAGCAACGCUGCGGUGAAUACGUUCCCGAGGCU